rnacentral:rRNA from 1 species
UACGAAGGGGGCUAGCGUUGCUCGGAAUCACUGGGCGUAAAGCGCACGUAGGCGGCUUCUUAAGUCAGGGGUGAAAUCCUGGAGCUCAACUCCAGAACUGCCUUUGAUACUGGGAGGCUCGAGUCCGGGAGAGGUGAGUGGAACUGCGAGUGUAGAGGUGAAAUUCGUAGAUAUUCGCAAGAACACCAGUGGCGAAGGCGGCUCACUGGCCCGGUACUGACGCUGAGGUGCGAAAGCGUGGGAGCGAACAGG